GCCUGCCGCCGUUCUCCUGGCAGCAGGGCGCGCUGGGAAGCACCAGGCAGGAAGUGAAGAAUUUCCGGUUGUCAGCGGAGGGAUGGGGCGUCACCAAGUCUGUGGCAAGCACACCAAGAACCAGCUAAGUCCAAGGCUCACCUGCAUGGCAAAUGGUGAAGAGCCCAGCUCCCACUGAAGGCAUAUGACCCAGAUCCUGAGAACCAGAUGCACCGGCCUGAGCUUUCGUCAGAAGCAAGGACACACAGAACCUUUCUUAGAGGCAUCAUUAGAGGACCGGACAUGGUGGCCAGAGGCUGCAGGGACAGAAGUCCCAGGGCCAUGUCCAGGAACUGGGCUCAGGGGACCUCCUGGUGCCACCUGCAUAUCUGAGCCCAUGGAGUUCCUCUGGUCUAUUCAGUUCUCUCAUUUUAACUUAAUUUUGUUUUUGUAGGCUUUCUUAAAAAAUUGCCCAGUUCAUUUACCUGAUCACGUUUAUUGUUCAGAGUUGAGUGUGGUUCUCUCGUAAUUAUUUAGUCUCCACUGGGUCUGUGAUUAUAUUUCCUUUCUUAUUGCUAAUGCUGUUUGUGUUUGAUUUUCUUCUUUUUUUUCUUGGCCUGACUUAAAGAGGUUUGUCUGUUUUAUCUUUAUUUUAAAAAUAACCAACUGUUUAUUUUUACUUCUCCACUGUGAUUUCCCCCUUUAUUUCUUUAAUGUUUGAGUUUAUAUUUUUUCCUAUUUAUUUUGGCUUAAAUUUUAUUAUCAUUUU
rnacentral:lncRNA from 1 species